CAAUUUCAAAUAAUACGUUUGCGAUUGUUUUUUCAUUUGUAGGGUGGAACAAGUGCAGUCUCUAAUAUGAUCCACCGUUGCGUAAUUCUACAAAAUUCUACAAUAAACUCAAUUAUAUUGAUCUCUGUAAGAACGUAAGGCUUAAGUAUUCAUUUAUUUAGCAGCUGUUGUCACUUGUCUGUUACUGGUUUACUACCCUGUCAAUAGAAUCACCAUCUACAAGAGACAGAAGCCCACGACUGGACGACCGAGCCGGCGACAAAACACGAAUGAAAUGUAAUAAUAUACUUUUAGUAGAUAACGAUCAACCGUUGUAUAAUACACGGUAAAUACAACACAUUAUAUUUGAUAUUCGCAUUUGGAAUAAUUUUGAUGUGAAAACAGACGGAAUUUAUAAUCGUAAUAUACGUAAUAUUUAGUUAUCUUUAAUAUUUAUACAUAUAUAUAUUUAUAUAUUAAUCGUAGUGUAAGGGGGCACAGCAGAACACUGACUGAUAAGGCGGUAUCAUAUAUUAUUAUAUUAAUGAUAUAUUAAUUUUAAACAUAUAGGUAGUAUUGUCGUAUUGACUACGGGACACAUAGAAAACUAUAAUAGAAUUAAGGACUUUCUGUACAUAAAUAGAUUGUAUUUACUACCUAAUUAUUAUUGGUUUUUUACUUUUAUAUAAAAAUAUAAUGUGAUAUUAUAUUCAAAAAUUGCUUUAAUUAAUAUGAAGGACGUUGAAGUUUUUGUAAAUAAAAUAUACAACAUUGACCGUUGUAGUUUUCAACAUAAAAUAUGCAAAUUUUUCAUUUAUGCGCCCUCCCAGGAAUUGCUAUCGAGGCGUAGGCACCUUUCACACCAUUUUUUAAUAACUAUUUGGGACUAAUAAUGGAAGGAAUAAUUGCACAAACUGAAAGUAUCGCUACGAAACGCGCGUUGCAACUGAACACUUCAAUGCUUAUCUGUGUAUAUUUCGGACAUGUGCGCGUAUACAGGGUAAUCGCCGUUACAGCGGCGUUAAACGCGCGUUGACAAUAAACAUGCAUUAUCAUCUGUACGGUUAUUAGAAAUUGUAUAGUAAUUGUAAACGCGCGUUUAACGCCUUUCGCGCGAACUAGCUCUUAUUCUCAAUUCAGUAGCCACAACUGACACAACUCACAACAUAUACAUUUAUCCAUAUUGUACCGAUGUAUCCGCAUGCAGUGUGGUCGUGUGGAUACUUUAAUUUUUUUUAAUCUUGGAAAGACUGUGGUACAUUUUAACAGCUGUUAUUUAGCUAACUGAAAGUAUUCAAACAUAACUGAUAAUAUUUUCGAGAUGUCGCCUGUUGAUCUCGUAAACAACUUCGCGAUGUGGGUUUAGUAGUCUUGUUUGAAGUAAAAACGUGUUUCUAUAUUACUUCCAUAGUUCUAUGAUGAAAUACAAAUCUAAAUUCAUCAAAAGUAGUUGGUAAGUUUAUUAUCUUUACAUUCGUAAUUUAACUAGGUAUUCCAGAGUAGAUUCCCAAGUGCAAAUAGUUUACUGACUAAAGAUAAUGACAUUUUUAUAUAAUAUAAUAAUUAGGUUAUAUUUAUUAAUAUUAUUAUAGUUCAAUAAGUUUUAAACUGCAUACAUAUUAAUAAGGUGAUUCGAGAUAUACUGUUUAUGGUAUGUAAAUUAAACACAAAUAAGUUAUGACUUUUAAUAUAUAG